rnacentral:rRNA from 1 species
AGAAUCUUCCGCAAUGGACGAAAGUCUGACGGAGCGACGCCGCGUGAGUGAUGAAGGCCUUAGGGUUGUAAAGCUCUUUCGCCCGCGACGAUGAUGACGGUAGCGGGAGAAGAAGCCCCGGCUAACUCCGUGCCAGCAGCCGCGGUAAUACGGAGGGGGCUAGCGUUGUUCGGAAUUCCUGGGCGUAAAGGGCGCGCAGGCGGCUGCUCAAGUCAGGCGUGAAAGGCCUGGGCUCAACCCGGGAAUUGCGCUUGAGACUGGGCUGGCUUGAGUGCGGGAGAGGAUGGUGGAAUUCCCAGUGUAGAGGUGAAAUUCGUAGAUAUUGGGAAGAACACCGGUGGCGAAGGCGGCCAUCUGGACCGCAACUGACGCUGAGGCGCGAAAGCGUGGGGAGCAAA